UACAAGUCCUGAUUCCCAAUGAGGUUAUUUGUUGACCUCAGGUUCAAAAGAUAUUUGGUGUCAGUGUGCAAAAUAUGGCGAACAAAGCCAGAAAAUCAGGAGGUGACUGUCAGCUAAAUCGUGAAUUUACCUCAAGAAGAGUCGAAAUAGUUUCUGAUUAACAUUCUCUGGCUUUUGUGUGAAGCUGUGUGAAAGAAGUUUACUAGGAUCUGACAGCUUUGAUAAAUGUACAGAUGGAAAAGCAUGAUAAUUAAAUGGAAGCCAACAGUAUGGUCUUGCAAGAAGACAAAUGACAUGAUUGAAAUUUGAUGUGAAAGCUCAAGUUCUGGAGUUGCAUAUCAUACAGUAAGAUGCCAUACCAGUGGCAUAGGAAUACCAUCUAGUUAAACAGUAACAAAGUCAGAGUACAUAGUCUUCAGUUUAUAUUAAAUUCUGAAAUCCUCUGGAUGAACCCUAGUGCAUUUAUGUGAACCAAAGCACAAAUUAACCAAAGCACAAAUUGAUCACAGCACAGCCGGUUUGUGAAGGUUUGGAUGUGGCCUAAAAAUUUAUUGCAAUACUCAAGCCAAAUUGUAUCGUAGCUAGCUGAUGUUGAAUAUCUAACUGAUAGAAAAUUAAUCAGGAGGAACUUUUGAUCAAAUGAAUGCAUGUUUUUCCAUAAAGUAUUGAAGAAAGAUUGUGGAAAAUACUAGUUUGGAAUGUAUGCUCAUAUCUCAGCAGUUAGUAAUCCAAAAUUGGAAGUUAUUGAUGUGUGCUGUUUUCUGAUGUUGAGAUGAUACACAUGUGCAUAUGACGACACCUAUAUUUUACUAAUGUACCGGUACAUCUUUGUACUCUUUUUCAAUCAUUCUUAGCGAUUGCAUCCUCUUACAGACAGAUAUACUGUAUACUGUAAUUACGGUAAUAUUUUUUUUCAUCCUUCAGACAGAUAUACUGUAUACAGUAAUUACAGUAAUUUUUUUUUUCAUCCAACAGUCUAGCAAAUUAUUAUGGUGUCAAAACUUUUUUUACAAGGAGUUUAAUGAUCAUUUGUAGCUUUUAGGAAAGUACAGUAGCAGACUCCCUGUGACAGUGAAAAUAAAUGCCAUGUUUUUCAGACUAAAAAUGCUUUAGGCAGUUUAUAUUAAUAAUAAGAAUAAUAACAACAGAAUAAUUAAUUAUAAUAAUGUAAAUAAAAAUUAUAUUAAUUAUGAUAAUGAUAAUACAGAUUAAAUAAUAAAAUUACAACCUCCUUACACCAGCCCUAUAAUGAGGAGCACCCAAUUUUUAGUUAAACAUCUCUGUAAAAAUAAUGGUACAGUCUUAUGGUUAACACUAUAUGAAGGUCAAAAAGAAAACUCAGACCCACUAAACACAUUAUAGUCACAAAAGUUCAGCCCUUAACCCUCUUCAUUUGGUUAAAACUCCCUUAUAAAUAGUUAUGGUACAGUAAAAAAAAAAUCAGCACUAGGUGUUUCGGUCUGAGAAAACUCUUCCCUUCAUUAAGCUCAGUUAUUUUUACAAAAUUAAAACAAAAAGAAACAAAAUAUUAUUUAUUAUUACUGUUUACGUAUACUAUACAGUACAUAUAAAAUUCCUUUAUGCACUUUGCAACAACAAAAUAGUGCACAUGAAAUAAAAAGUUAAUUGAUUACUUUGAAAGUUAAUAAAUAAAACAGAAAUAUCAAUACCUGGUUUUAUCAAAUUUGCAAGCAAAAUUCAAGCAAGUGUUCAUAUUUUAUCAGUGGUAGAUUUUUGGGACAGUUCUCUUUCAAGAGAUGGUGUGGUUCGAAUCCACACUACCACUAUUGGACAUUAUGUUUGUUAUUUUGUGUAGCUCUAGUCAGGCUGUAGUUCAUAUUUUUUGUAAUUCAUGUAAUCAUCACACAAAGUUUAAUUUUUCAAAAAUUCAAACUUAAUAGAAAAAAAAAACUACUAUUUUAUUAGAGUGCACCACCCAAUUUGAGACCCCACUAAUUUGAGACCACUUUUUCAAAGAACCAAAUAAGAAUCUUCAUUUCUUUUAUUCACAAAGUAACCCUCUAAUUGGAGACCGAACCCAGAGACGACCCUAAGUUUUCAGACCACAAGGCGGUCUCGAAUUUGAGGGCGAGCUGUACUAUUAACGUUUCUAAUCAGUUGUUAGUCAGAUAUUAAUACCUUUGUAUAUAAAAUAUGAACUGAUUUUUUAUAAACCUUGUAUUUGUAAAUGGAAGCAGCUUAGCUCAUGUUGCUAUAUUGAUGGUAGCAUGUGUGUCCGAUGAACGUUGCCAGUUCAAUUCCGUCUACUGGAGAGCUGAAUUGCAAGUUUAAAUAAUGCAGUCCUUCAUAAGAGACCUUUAAUAGUAGUUAUGGAAAUGUAGCUUGGUUGCUAAGAUGCUUGCCCCCCAAUCCUAGUGCCUGGGUUAAAUUUCUCUCUUAUGGUGUAUUGCAAAACCAAGCACUUUUGAAAGUUGUAUAUUUCGUUAGGUUUAUUAGCUUCCAACUUUAAAUUAGAAAUUUAUAAUGAAAUCAUUGCCAAUAAAGAUAUUUGAAUAUAUAUAGACUUAGAAUAUUCAUCCCUGCCAGCAAUGAUUUGCAGUAGCGGAUUCAAUGUGAGGCGGGGAAGUGGGAUCCGUUAUUUCUAAUCCUUUAAUCCGCCACUGAUUUGCACAUUAAAAUGUCUAAUUGAAAACUGAUUUCUGUGUUUUUUUCAAUGAGUAAUUCAGAAUUUUUUUUUCUUAGGUUUCUCA
rnacentral:lncRNA from 1 species